UUCAAGUGGAACGUUGUAAGUAGACGAUCCAAAGGUGUCAAACAGUAUAUCCUUAGUAGAAAUCAAAUUUCUGUCCACUGGCUAGUUUACCGAAAGUCACCUAUCAAGGAAGCAGGUAAAGCUGCAACUUGAUGUGACAAGUCCUGAUUCAAAAAGUAUGCUGACACAAAGCUCUAGAAAGUCAACAUCAGGGAUAUCAAAGUAUCUGAGCAUUAAAUGUUACAAUGGACACUUUUCAACAGGAAGAUUUCAAAAGAGUAUAAAAGUUAGUAUCAUUCAAAAUGGAACAGAUGAUGAUGGACAUUGAACGACUAAUAUAAGUAAAGGAUCAUCAUCAAAAAAGAACAUAUUGUUGAAAGUCAAAAUAAUGUAGAGUAAGUAUCACUCUACGUUUGAAGAUGUGUUCAAAGCUGCCAAGUACAAAAAAGAAAAGAGAUUAUACGUUAUCUUAGCAGCACAUCAUCAGACCAUGAGAAACUGAUGAGUACUUAAAGAAGCUAGAGCCGCAGAGCCAAGGGCCAAGAGCAAAGAGCCAUAGAGUUAAGGUGUAAAACCCCAACUUUUUAUAAAUAAAGAUUUAAUUUUUUCUAAAUAGUAGGGUGAUAAUUUAAUAAAUGUUAUAGUUAUGGGUGAUAUGUGCAAAUUUUACAAAGUAAAUAAUUGUCAAAAAAUAUUUGUAUGAUCGGGAAAUAUUCUUUUUGUCGGAGAAUAUUCGUACGAAUGCGUAAUCAUUAGUGGACCCCAUAACGAAAUAACUGUCGGAUAUAGAAAGCAACAAAAAUAACCUUUUUAUAAAAAUAACGACAAGACUUUUACCGUUAAACUGUUGAAAUACCCGGUGAUAAAAGUAUAGUAAUACGCGUUGUUCUAUAGUGGUACGUGGUAUUGCACAGUAGCACAUGAUAUUGCACGGUAUUUCUGAUUAUUGAUUCUUACGUAAAUAUUCACUCAGUAUCUCAUUCAAUAAUUGCUACAGUAGAAAUAGCAUAGUAUCUCAUAUUAUUGAUUCAAUAAUUGUUAUAGUAACAUCUGCAUAAUAUUUUAUAUUAUUAAUUGUCACGACAUAGUAACUCAUAUUAUUGAUUAGCAUUAUAGAUAAUGUCUAAAAAUUUCUAUCGAGUAAAGGGGUUAGGUUAUUUAAUUGCAUGCCAAUAAGGAGAAAUCUUUAUUGGAAAGCCCCGUCUUUUUUGGGAAUGAUCUGGUUGUCAAUAUUGUGAAUCUAUAAUAUUAAUGAUGAAUAAUUGUUGAAAGAUUAAAAAAUGUGUUGAUUGAAGAUAAUGAUUUGUGGUAGAUAUUUAUUCAAUUUUUGGUAUAAAUAGAGGGGUUUGUCAUGAGGCGUUUGUUGUAAGUAUGACUUAUUAUUCCAUGGGGGAACACCCUAAUUUUUCAAACCAUCGGCAGAAAGUUAUUUUAGUUUUUGUUUUAUUAUUAUUAUUAUAUUAGUAAUAAAACAGAAAACUUUUUAUAUUAUAUAUAAAGUUAUUUGUUUUAUUAGAAUAAUUUAGAUGAAUAGUAAAAUCAGAUAAAAUUUUAGAAAAUUCACUAUUUAGUUCGUGAUUAUUUUUAAAUAGUGUCCUGUCAUUCUCCUAUAAAUAGGUUGCUUAGUUAAGAAACGAAAAUCACACCAGAAUCAGAGAAUUCUUCUUCUAUAAUAUUGUGCGUAUUUCUUUCGAAUAUAAGGAUACUUUGAGUGUAGGUAAUAGUGCAAGAUUUCCUUAAAAUAAUCUUCGUUAUACCAGUCAGAUUUAGUCUCCUACUAAGGUAAAGGAUGUUAUUUUCUUCAUACUCAUAAGGGUUGUCAUUCUAUUCCUUAUUAAUCUGUGGGAAUAAUCUGUCUACGCGGAUUACCGCAUGCCUGGUGAAUAAACCUUCAUAUUCAUUCUUUAUUAAGUUGUGAAAAUGAUCUGUCUACGCGGAUUACCGCAUGACGGGUGAAAAUACAUUUUCAAUUUCAUAUAUGCUUUCAUACUCGUAUGGGAUAUCAUUUUUUUAUACUCGUCAAGGGAUAUCGUUUUCUUUCAUAUUUCUCUAUUUAUGGUACGAAAUUAUUGUUUGUUUCCGUAACCUUAUAUUAGUAUACUUUUUAGAUAGCUUAUUAUAAUCGUAAUUGCAUUAAUAAAAAUUUAAUAGAUAUAUCAAUUUUGAAAUAUAAAAUAAAAUAAAAAUUUAAAGGUCUAUACUCGUCUUAUAUUUUGAGAUGAAGGGAACAUUUUGACUAGUUUCAUAAUAAUAUGUUUAUUAACAAUAGUAAUAAUUAAUAUUAUAAUAAUAAUUGUAAUAGUUUACCUAAUAUGUUUCUUUACCUAAUCAGAUCAUGCAAAACAACCAAAUAUAUGUUUCUUCUCAACUCUUUUUUUUCUACAUUGACAAACACACCCCACAUACACCCUCCUUGCUAUCACCAAGGAUCAAAUCAUCGAUUUCAUGGAUAUUAUGAAGCGAGUCAUACAACUAUGGACAAAUACCAUAUCUUCUCAUCACUUUCCUUCACUCAUCUAUCUUUCAUUUUCUUUUUCUCAGAUCUUUGUCAGUUCUUUUCUAAUCUCUCAUCUUCUCUUUCUAUUAUUUCACUCUUUACUUGAAAAAUCUUUGCCAAUUUCUUACAAAGAUAGUAUAGAUCUGGAGUGAGAAAUCAAGAUCAACUGAUUUGUGGGUUUUUGGUUUUAAUUCUCCAUCAUUGAGUGAUAUUAGGGAUUGGUUUUGAAACCAAUUAAUUAAUACAAAUCAGGGAUAAGUUUAUACUAAUGCUUCAAUUUAUCAAUUAAUUGGUUUCAAAACUAAUCCCCAAUUAAUUGGUUAUUUGUAUCAAUUGACAACAAGUUUAUACUAUCGAUUUGUAUCAACUGAAACUUAGUUUUGAAGCAGCAAUAUAACUUUCAAUUGAUACAAAUCAGAGCAAAAGAAGAUAUGCAUACAUAUAUAUUUUGGCCAUGCAUUUUGGCUGCGUGAACGCAACUUGAUUUCAGUGCAUUACAUUUUGGACCAUAAACUCACCUCCAACGCGUUUGGGGUUGAUGUGUGUUGGAAAAACUACGCCUAAAAAUAAUCUCAAUCCUAGGAAUUCCUUUUCCGUCUUUGUGCAAUUAAAUAUAAAUCAACAAAACCAAUUAUGGGAACGAAAAUAACAAAUAAUCAUCCACAAUCAAGACAACAAAUUUACGUGGAAAAACUUCUAAAACUAAAAGGUAAAAACCACAGGUCAAACUUCAAAUCUCCACUAUAUCACUAAUAAUGGGCUUACAAUAAUCCUCCUAAGUUUUAUGCCCUAAUACUUGAGGUAACUGAUAGACACAUAAUUCAUACAUUUUAUUAACCCUAAUUUUGGCAUUUUAAUUAUAUUAGUUUAUUAAAUUAAUAUAUUUUAUUUUAUUUUGUAGUAUUUAAUAGUUGUUAUAAUAAUGUCAAAAUCUUGGUGAUCAAUCGAUAUUUAAUGCUCUUAUUCAUGUAAGGAAUAUCCAAGAAGAAUCAUGCAAGCAGAAGGAAAGAGGUGUAACAAUCUUGGUGUGCAAGUCAAAUCCAACAAGAGAAAGGAAAGUCUAUCUAGAAGAUCUCUUUGAGAAGUUGAUUGUCACUAGGAAGUUGAAACCUACAUGGAAAAGGAACAAAAAUGUCCAAGUUCAAUGAAUUUAAAUUAGGGUUCAAAGUUAUUUUUUCUAUAAAUAAGUAUCAUGUUUUAGAGAGGAAUGAGCAUUAGGUAUUGUAUUAGUUUAGGUUAGGAGUAGGAGUAAAUUAAAUUACUUCUCCAUUGUAUGUUCGUUGGAUGAUCGUUAAUUAAAGAGAGUUUUCUUAUUUAUUUUUAAUCUUCUUCUUUUCUUUAUUUUAGUUAGUUUAAUUAUUUUCCAUGUCUAGAUAAUUUCUUUCAUCUAGGAUGAAGAUGAAAUUAAAUAAUUAUUCUUGAUAAUAUUUUUCAUCUCUUCUAUUAUUUAUGCUUUUGUGUUUAAUUGAUUUCGCCUUCAUGUUUCGUUAUCGAAAUACCUUUGUGUUAUAGUUCUUAUGUGAUUUUAAAUUAAUUAAGAGGUUUUGAUAGAUUAUUGUUAAGAUAUGAGUUUUUCAUAAUUCAUGCUUGCUCAAAGACAUUUUGAUGGGUUAUAGUUAAUCCUUAAAUUUUCAUAGUAUAUGUUUGCCCACGUUAAUUGCAAAUUACAAAAUUAAAGGGAAGGGAGAUCAAAAUCAUAAUUGAGUUAUAAAAAUAGAAGAGAUUGAAUUAUAUGUUAUGUUUAUUAUUUAAUGGAUUCGGAUUCCUAGAUUGCUUCCUCAUUAUUAGUUUUCAUAUUUUAGUUAAUUAAUUCUCAAUCUUUAUUUCUAAUUCGCCUAAAAUAGAUAUUAAGGAAACAUUAAAAUUAAUCUAGUCUUUGUGGGUUCGACCUGUACUUGCCAGUUCUUCAAUUCGACAUUGUGCACUUGCAGUACAUAAUUUUAACACAUCAGUUACACAAUAAAUUAAGAGAAUACAAAUUUACCUUUAAUUAGGUUGAGAAACCUAAUUAACUUCGCCACCCAAAAAACACCCCAAGCAAUAAAGUCUUCAAGCUUUAAAUUGAACAGAGAUGACGAGGGAUACCUACGAACAACAAAUUGUAAUCCUCUCAAUUUAUUCUUUUGAUACCUUCUUGCUACCAAGCUUCUCUCAUGUGUAAAAUAAGAUUCCCUCAUAGCCUUAUUUAUAGUAUACUCUUCCUAAUCCAUUCUUAUUAUGGAUUAGAAAUAAUUUAUUCUUCAAAUCAAAUUAGGGAUCACAUCUCCUUAUCUUAGUCUUCAACCAAUCUAACAAGUAAAUCCUUUUUUAACUUGAAUUCCUUUCAUGGGUGAGGACACACCCAACCUAGCGAACGUAGUACACAUUGGUUAACCGUUCAUGCACUUAAAGUUAAUGCAAAUAGUUGGUCAUUUAUUGAUGUUUGUAGCGGAUACAGGAAAAAAUAAAUACGCAACUAAGACUUUUGUGAAUUUUCAGUUAACCAAAAAUUGAAGUAGGUCUCAUUGUAGAUGUUCAAGUUCCAUUUGGUGGUUUUUGAAAUUAGAAUUGAUGGGAUGCCAUUGUUAUAGCAUGUUCGACAAUAACUUAAAAGUUAGUAAGUAGUUUUUGGCUGUUGAUGUGUUUGGGAGUAAUUUAUUUUUUGACUUACUAGUUGGUAGUCCGUGCAAUGCACAGGCUAGUUUGAAUAACAGAUUGUAUAAUUUAUUAAAAUUAAAAUGAGAAAAUUAUUUUUUUUAUAAAAAUUUAUUUUCAUAUAAACUGUUCAAUACAUUUUUUACAUGACAUGAGAAGAAAACUUGCUAAUAAACAGUAAAAGCUUUUUCUGAUUGGUUUUUAUUCUUGGUAAGAAGGAGUAGCGCCUGUUAGAAAGUCAUUCUUCAACAACAUUCAGUUGCUCAGACUGGAUCUGAGACAAAUUGAUAUCUUCCUUCACAAAAAAGCUAGCUGGAUUAGUGCCUUAAACACUGUCGACUGCAAGCCUCAUUGAUCCUUUGAACAUGUCAAUUUUUGCAUUACACGGGAUCACAGUAACACCCUCUUUCAUCAAGUCCACUGAACAUAAGACAUCUUUCAGUGUACAACUAAAGAUGAGAAACUCAAUUUUGUGCAAAUGCGAGAGGUUAAAAUUUAAAAUUAUUCUUGCCUAUGAAAUGAGCAGCAGUUGUAAGCACAAUUCCAAGCCAGUAAAAUUUUACCCUUUUCAAAAAAAAUAACUUAGUAUAUUAAAUUGGCUCUUAAGAACUAUAAAGAAAUAAAAAUUUCAAGAAUCUAGCUAUCUGAAAAUUGUAAAUGGUAAUCUUCUCAUUCCUCGAAAAUCACUGUCAACCUUCUAGUUAUAUCUAUAACACGAAUUCAUUACAAAACAUUUGUCAUAUCAUCCACAUAUACCUCAUAUUUUGAGUCUUUAUUCAGCAUAUCAAUAGUUGUAAAGAAAAUGAACAAAUGAGGAGUCCACAUUAAACAUCAAAAAUCAAUUGGUCAUGUUUAUGCAAACUGAAAUUCUCAAUUUGGGAUCAAGUGGCUAUCAGUUGAGAUCUCUCCUAACAAAGUAGACCAAACUUAGAAUAAUUAACACAUAACAUUAUAAGGAAAUCAAAGUAAAGGCUAAAUGACAAUGUUUUUGAGUAACUUCAACAAUAAACCAUACCCUGAUCGUUUUUUGCUUUGAAUAUAAUCAUUCCAGUCUCGUCAACUACCAAGCAUUUAGCAAGACGCAUUUAGUGUCCUUAACCUCCCUGCAUUAUCAUCUUUGACUAAAAACCUUUAGAGUUAGGUUAUAUUAGUAUACAUUCUAGGCAUUAUGAAAUAUUAAUGUAUAUUUCUUUUUGGCAUUUAAUCAAACAUGUAAUGUACACAUUUUACAGAUAAAGAUCAACAUACACAAAUUUCUGUAUCAAUAGAAUCUCAUAGCAAGCAUAUGCACAACAAUAUAUAAGCAUACAUAAUAACAUAUAUACAAUUAAAAGAGGCAUAAGAGCAAACAACUUUAUUAAAUCAUCAGCCUUUUUGAGAAAUUGAUUAAACAGCCAUACCACAAAAUACAUGUAAAACAAUUACUAAACAAAUAGAAAAAGUGAUGAAAAACAGAUAACCAAAAAGAAUGUCAAUAUCCUCACCUGAGAACUUUAGCAGCAUAAAUUAUCCAUUAACUUCAACUGCACUUACUCUAUAAUUCAACAUCUACUAAUUUUACCAAAAUUUUGAAUUUUUAUAACCUUUUUAGCAACAGUCAAAUUCUGAUCAUGACCAAUUAAAAAACAUAAAACAGACCCAUCACCCAAAAAUCUAUUUUAUUCCAGGAAAAUAAAUAAAGCAAAUCGGUUGAUGCAAUCUGAUUAUAUCAGAACUGGAAUUGAGUAGGAAUUUAAAUUGAAUAAUUUAUAAGUUUCAUCAAUGCAACACCUUGCCUCCCAAUGUUUCUCAAUUUUUUUCCACCCCGACUACUCCAACUCAACUCCGCACAACAGUUGUUGUUACUGUUAAUCUAAAUACAUAAUUAUUAUUUAUUUUGUCUCUAAACCUUAAAAAAUUAAAAAUAAAAUUUCUUCUUCCAAAGAAUAUCAAACUCUUUUUCCCCCAAAUCAUUAAAUAAUCUCACAUAAACAACAUCAAUGCCCAUGUCCAUCAAGUCAUUAAAUCAUCUCACAUGAACAACAUUAAAACACUUAAGUGUGUACCUGGCGAAUUCAAAAUCAAAACCCUUGGACAACUCUAUUCUCCGCAAUCAAUAUGUGAGGCUGCUAAAAAUUUGUGAAUUUCAAUAGGCACUGUAGUUCUGCUCACAAAGUACCUUCUCAUCAAAUCUAUAAAAAAUUCAACAAAUACUAAUCAAUAUAUAUAAAUAUACAUGUUUAAUUUAAUACUAUAUUAUUUUAAAUUUAGAUAUUAAAUCCAUUAAUACAAUAUUAUUUAUAAAUUUAAGUAGUAAUAAUACUUUUCAUUUUAUUUUUUCUCAAAAAUCAAACAGAAAACAUAACAAACUUGAUUUCACGAUGCAAACCAGUUCAGUUCAACCUCUAUUUAUCUCAUGUUUUCCCCUAGGUAGCAUAUUCUCUAUGCAUUGAGAAAACAGACAAAGCAUAAUUAUUCAAGAAUUAAUGAUUAAUGAUUGGAAAAUAAUUCCAUAAUUAUGCCUCAACAAUUAACGAAAAUUAAAUCUAAAAUUGAAAUAAAUUAUUCAAGAAUUUCACGCAAGAUGAAUUGAAACAAUAUAGUCAUUAAUUUUUGAACAAAUCCAUGAACAAAAAAACCCAAAUCACAUACCUAAUUUUCAAGAAGAAAAAACCCCAAUCAUAUACCUAAUUCAUUUUUGUACAAAUUCAUAAUGAAACCAUCCCAAAUCAGAGAUCCAAUUCAUUUAUGAACAAACCCUUAAAGCAGAAUUCACAAAUAUAUAGACACAAGAAAUUAAAGAAGAAAAAGAAUAUGAAGACACACAAAAGUUGCAUAAGGCUUACAGCCGAUAAGAAUUCGGUUUAGCGAAGUUGAGGAGGUGGAUAAAGGGAUCAACGACGACACAUGAAGUUUUCUUGCUGUGAGUUGGUGGAUUAAAUAGAGUGAUUGUCAUGAGGGGGAGAAGAGAUUUGAGAGAAUUGAAGGGAGGAUAAGAGAUUUAAGAGAACUGAAGGGAGGAGAAACUAGAGGGUCUGAAGAGUUAAACGAAAACGAUGAUACGUAUACGGAAGAGUAAGAGCUCAG
rnacentral:lncRNA from 1 species